rnacentral:rRNA from 1 species
UACAGAGGUCUCAAGCGUUGUUCGGAUUCAUUGGGCGUAAAGGGUGCGUAGGUGGCGGGGCAAGUCUGGUGUGAAAUCUCGGAGCUCAACUCCGAAACUGCACUGGAUACUGCCUUGCUCGAGUACUGGAGAGGAGAUCGGAAUUUACGGUGUAGCAGUGAAAUGCGUAGAGAUCAUGAGGAAGACCAGUGGCGAAGGCGGGUCUCUGGACAGUUCCUGACACUGAGGCACGAAGGCCAGGGGAGCAAACGGG